CGCCCGCACUUUCCCGCGGCGUUACGAGGGGCCAACUCCGGGUGCCCGAGCCCGAACCCCUCCCCGGCCGAGAAAGUGCGCGGGGCCCGGCUCAGCCGCCACACGUCGGGGCUUCUGAGCCCGCUGGGCACUUAAGGCGCUCCUCCCUCGUCCCGGGGCUGGGCUUUCAAGAGAGCUCAAGGCUGCCAGAGAGUGAUCCGAGAGAUGGAUGACUUCGCAAAGCCGCGCCCACAGACGGCCCAGCGGGGUGAGCGCGUCGCAGCCCGCACUCAAGGAGGUCUUGGGGCGCGGCGAAGGGGCUCCGGGUCCCAGCCCGAAGGCGACCUCAGUUCCCCCGAGAGCGGCCCCGUGACUAGGCACAUUUUUGCCGGCACCGAGGCGGGGGAGCCGCGCAGCCCCGGAAGGGCCGGGCCGCGCCGGCUCAGACGGCCAGCGUCCGCCCCCUCUUGCCCCGCCGCCCACCGGGCCGCUCAAACUUAGGGGCUCCGGAGUCCCAGCUCUCGGGCCCGGGGACGCGGCUGGAUUCUCCCCCAAGGCCCACGCGAGCGGGCUCAGUCCCCAGACCUUCCCGCAACUUCCCACCCGUUCGCCCUCGGGCUCGUGGUCGGUCGGAUCACCCGGCCGCGUCCCCGCUGCCCCUCCCCGCCCUGCCCCGGCGCAAGCGCGGCGGCUCUACCCAGCGCCGCGGUCCUGGCUCUGGCCAGACGUGGGGGAAGCCGGUUGCGGCUGUCCCUCCCGGGCCGCGGUUCCCUAGCUCCCCCGCCCCCGUCCCGGCACCACCGCAGGGCCCAGAGGGCCGAGGCAGCACCUGCUGGGACGGGAGUCCCGGCGGCGGCAGCUCCAAGUCCAUCAUGAUGAGCUGUGGACCGUGUGUUGGGGCUCCCCGACGGCGGCCCUGUUCCGGCUGCCGAGGCGCGGCGCGGACAGGGCGGCUCUGGUGGCGGCGGCGGCGGCGGUGGCGGCUGCGUCGGCGGCUCCUCCGGGCUCCCCGGCACUCG
rnacentral:lncRNA from 10 species